UCUAUUACCCUUCAUUAGUUAUCUAUUUCUUUAUUUGAUUUAUUUUUUUCCGGUAAAUAUUUUUCUUAACUAUUACUACUUUUUCCAUCCCCAUAGAUAUAUCAUCAUCUUUACCAUCGUAUCAUCACCAUGGCCACCUCCAUAGUUUUUCUGUAUAUCCACGAUCACAAUUUAAUCAUGACCGUUGCUUCGUAACCACAGUCACCGCUCUGGUAACCGCCACCACUGCUGUAACCACCACCGCCACAAGAUAUUCUACCGUUGCUUAACCACUACAUCUUCCUCUGUAACAACCACACCUCUUUCGUAAUCACCAUCAACUCCUUCAGGACCA
rnacentral:lncRNA from 1 species